rnacentral:rRNA from 1 species
UACGGAGGGAGCUAACGUUGUUCGGAUAUACUGGGCGUAAAGCGCACGUAGGCGGCGCAGCAAGUCAGGGGUGAAAUCCCGGAGCUCAACUCCGGAACUGCCCUUGAAACUGCAGUGCUAGAAUCUUGGAGAGGCGAGUGGAAUUCCGAGUGUAGAGGUGAAAUUCGUAGAUAUUCGGAAGAACACCAGUGGCGAAGGCGACUCGCUGGACAAGUAUUGACGCUGAGGUGCGAAAGCGUGGGGAGCAAACAGG